rnacentral:rRNA from 1 species
CCCUUCUGACUGCUGGGCAGGCAGCUUUGGGGAAUAUUGCACACCGGGCGGAAGCCUGGUGCAACAACGCCGCUGGCGGGAUGACGGCCUUCGGGUUGUAAACCGCUUUCGCCUGUGACGAAGCGUGAGUGACGGUAAUGGGUAAAGAAGCACCGGCUAACUACGUGCCAGCAGCCGCGGUGAUACGUAGGGUGCGAGCGUUGUCCGGAUUUAUUGGGCGUAAAGGGCUCGUAGGUGGUUGAUCGCGUCGGAAGUGUAAUCUUGGGGCUUAACCCUGAGCGUGCUUUCGAUACGGGUUGACUUGAGGAAGGUAGGGGAGAAUGGAAUUCCUGGUGGAGCGGUGGAAUGCGCAGAUAUCAGGAGGAACACCAGUGGCGAAGGCGGUUCUCUGGGCCUUUCCUGACGCUGAGGAGCGAAAGCGUGGGGAGCGAACAGGCUUAGAUACCCUGGUAGUCCACGCUGUAAACGGUGGGUACUAGGUGUGGGGUCCAUUCCACGGGUUCCGUGCCGUAGCUAACGCUUUAAGUACCCCGCCUGGGGAGUACGGCCGCAAGGCUAAAACUCAAAGGAAUUGACGGGGGCCCGCACAAG